UACGGGGGGGGCAAGCGUUGUUCGGAAUUACUGGGCGUAAAGGGCUCGUAGGUGGCCAACUAAGUCAGACGUGAAAUCCCUCGGCUUAACCGGGGAACUGCGUCUGAUACUGGAUGGCUUGAGUGCGGCAGAGGAGACUGGAAUUCCUGGUGUAGCAGUGAAAUGCGUAGAUAUCAGGAGGAAUACCGAUGGCGAAGGCAGGUCUCUGGGCUGACACUGACGCUCAUGCACGAAAGCGUGGGGAGCAAACAGG
rnacentral:rRNA from 1 species